rnacentral:rRNA from 1 species
AGUGAACGCUGCCGGUAGGCCUAACACAUGCAAGUCGAACGGCAGCACAGUAAGAGCUUGCUCUUACGGGUGGCGAGUGGCGGACGGGUGAGGAAUACAUCGGAAUCUACUUUUUCGUGGGGGAUAACGUAGGGAAACUUACGCUAAUACCGCAUACGACCUACGGGUGAAAGCAGGGGAUCUUCGGACCUUGCGCGAUUGAAUGAGCCGAUGUCGGAUUAGCUAGUUGGCGGGGUAAAGGCCCACCAAGGCGACGAUCCGUAGCUGGUCUGAGAGGAUGAUCAGCCACACUGGAACUGAGACACGGUCCAGACUCCUACGGGAGGCAGCAGUGGGGAAUAUUGGACAAUGGGCGCAAGCCUGAUCCAGCCAUGCCGCGUGGGUGAAGAAGGCCUUCGGGUUGUAAAGCCCUUUUGUUGGGAAAGAAAAGCAGCAGGUUAAUACCCCGCUGUUCUGACGGUACCCAAAGAAUAAGCACCGGCUAACUUCGUG